CCUACGAGUGGCAGCAGUGAGGAAUAUUGGUCAAUGGCCGGGAGGCUGAACCAGCCAAGUCGCGUGAGGGAAGAACGCCCUACGGGUUGUAAACCUCUUUUGGCAGGGAGCAAGGUGCAGGUCGGGACCUGCUGUGAGAGUACCUGAAGAAAAAGCAUCGGCUAAAUCCGGGCCAGCAGCCGCGGUAAUACGGAGGAUGCGAGCGUUAUCCGGAUGUAUUGGGUUUAAAGGGUGCGCAGGCGGAGGCACAAGUCAGCGGGAAAAUCGCGGGCCUCAACCCCGCUCCGCCGUUGAAACUGUGUCCCUUGAGUGCGCGAAGGGUAGGCGGAAUGCGUGGUGUAGCGGUGAAAUGCAUAGAUAUCACGCAGAACUCCGAUCGCGAAGGCAGCCUACCGGCGCGCAACUGACGCUCAUGCACGAAAGCGUGGGUAUCGAACAGGAUUAGAUACCCGGGUAGUC
rnacentral:rRNA from 1 species